rnacentral:rRNA from 1 species
GACGAACGCUGGCGGCGUGCUUAACACAUGCAAGUCGAACGGAAAGGCCCUGCUUUUGUGGGGUGCUCGAGUGGCGAACGGGUGAGUAACACGUGAGUAACCUGCCCUUGACUUUGGGAUAACUUCAGGAAACUGGGGCUAAUACCGGAUAGGAGCUCCUGCUGCAUGGUGGGGGUUGGAAAGUUUCGGCGGUUGGGGAUGGACUCGCGGCUUAUGAGUUUGUUGGUGGGGUAGUGGCUUACCAAGGCUUUGACGGGUAGCCGGCCUGAGAGGGUGACCGGCCACAUUGGGACUGAGAUACGGCCCAGACUCCUACGGGAGGCAGCAGUGGGGAAUAUUGCACAAUGGGCGGAAGCCGGAUGCAGCAACGCCGCGUGCGGGAUGACGGCCUUCGGGUUGUAAACCGCUUUCGCCUGUGACGAAGCGUGAGUGACGGUAAUGGGUAAAGAAGCACCGGCUAACUACGUG